GGUAGCAUGGCCACCUGCGCAAUGACUUGAGAAGGACUUCACUGCUUAGAGCAUAAAGGUAGCAUGGCCACCCGCGGCAGCAGACUUCAGAAGGAAUUCACUGCUCAGAGCAUAAAGGUGAACUUCUCCAUGACUCAGGAUAGAAAAGGAAUUCACAGGCUAGCACGAACCCCGGCCACGGAAGAAUUGGGGUCUGCUCCGAUAUCACCCAAGAAACAUCGAAUGCAGCAUCACAGCGAAAGCAAAAAGAAACGAAACUAAUAGAAUAAAUGAAGCAAAGGUCACACAAAUGCUCAUGACACAAAACAUACAAAUAAAGAAUAAAACCCUCCAACAAAACAACACUUCUAUCACACAGUAAGACUUUGAAAAAGAAAGAAAAGCAUUAUGCAGUCAAAUUUAAAGUAGUCGGUAUAUCUUAAAAGUCUACCGUACCAAAUGCACGGUGAAUCUCAUCUUUUCUUUAUCAUCAAUGUGUUUGACAUAUCUGAAUAACUGUAUCAAUUACAUGUCCAAACAUAUCAUUCUUCAUUUUAAGAAGUUAGAACUUCUCCAAAAACAUCGACAAACGUGACAUUUUGGUCUUAAGUAACAUCUAGAAAGCUCUUGAAAACCCUUAAAAAGCUGCAAUAUUGUAUAAAAACUACGGCCUAUGCUAUGCCCAAUGAAUUAAAUCACAGUUUCUCAUUCUUAUGUGCAAACGCCGAUCCCACAAGGUGUUGCCAAAAACGAAUUCCCAA